rnacentral:rRNA from 1 species
UACGUAGGGUGCGAGCGUUGUCCGGAAUUAUUGGGCGUAAAGAGCUCGUAGGCGGUCUGUCGCGUCGGUCGUGAAAACUUGGGGCUUAACCCUGAGCUUGCGGUCGAUACGGGCAUGACUGGAGUUCGGCAGGGGAGACUGGAAUUCCUGGUGUAGCGGUGAAAUGCGUAGAUAUCGGGAGGAACACCAGAGGCGAAGGCGGCGAACUGGACAGUAACUGACACUCAACUGCGAAAGCGUGGGGAGCAAACAGG